UACGGAGGGGGCUAGCGUUGUUCGGAAUUACUGGGCGUAAAGCGCGCGUAGGCGGACCUGCAAGUCGGGGGUGAAAGCCCGAGGCUCAACCUCGGAACUGCCUUCGAUACUGCGGGUCUCGAGUCCGAGAGAGGUGAGUGGAAUUCCUAGUGUAGAGGUGAAAUUCGUAGAUAUUAGGAAGAACACCAGUGGCGAAGGCGGCUCACUGGCCCGGUACUGACGCUGAGGCGCGAAAGCGUGGGGAGCAAACAGG
rnacentral:rRNA from 1 species